rnacentral:rRNA from 1 species
CAAAACGACUCUCGGCAAUGGAUAUCUCGGCUCUUGCAUCGAUGAAGAACGUAGUGAAAUGCGAUACUUGGUGUGAAUUGCAGAAUCUCGUGAACCAUUGAGUCUUUGAACGCAAGUUGUGCCCGAGGCCUUGUGGCCGAGGGCACGCCUGCUUGGGGGUCAUGGC